rnacentral:rRNA from 1 species
UACAGAGGGUGCAAGCGUUGUUCGGAAUUACUGGGCGUAAAGCGCGUGUAGGUGGCGGCGUAAGUCGGAUGUGAAAUCCCUCGGCUUAACCGAGGAAGUGCAUUCGAUACUGUGUCGCUUGAGUACUGGAGGGGAUGGCGGAAUUCCCGGUGUAGAGGUGAAAUUCGUAGAUAUCGGGAGGAACACCUGUGGCGAAGGCGGCCAUCUGGACAGUCACUGACACUGAGACGCGAAAGCGUGGGUAGCAAACAGG